rnacentral:rRNA from 1 species
GAUGAACGCUGGCGGCGUGCCUAAUACAUGCAAGUCGAGCGAACGGACGAGAAGCUUGCUUCUCUGAUGUUAGCGGCGGACGGGUGAGUAACACGUGGAUAACCUACCUAUAAGACUGGGAUAACUUCGGGAAACCGGAGCUAAUACCGGAUAAUAUUUUGAACCGCAUGGUUCAAAAGUGAAAGACGGUCUUGCUGUCACUUAUAGAUUGAUCCGCGCUGCAUUAGCUAGUUGGUAAGGUAACGGCUUACCAAGGCAACGAUGCAUAGCCGACCUGAGCGGGUGAUCGGCCACACUGGAACUGAGACACGGUCCAGACUCCUACGGGAGGCAGCAGUAGGGAAUCUUCCGCAAUGGACGAAAGCCUGACGGAGCAACGCCGCGUGAGUGAUGAAGGUCUUCGGAUCGUAAAACUCUGUUAUUAGGGAAGAACAUAUGUGUAAGUAACUGUGCACAUCUUGACGGUACCUAAUCAGAAAGCCACGGCUAACUACGUG